UACGUAGGGGGCGAGCGUUGUCCGGAUUUAUUGGGCGUAAAGAGCGUGUAGGCUGUUCGGUAAGUCUGCCGUGAAAACCUGAGGCUCAACCUCGGGCGUGCGGUGGAUACUGCCGGGCUAGAGGACGGUAGAGGCGAGUGGAAUUCCCGGUGUAGCGGUGAAAUGCGCAGAUAUCGGGAAGAACACCCGUGGCGAAGGCGGCUGACGCUGGGACGGUACUGACGCUGAGGCGCGAAAGCGUGGGGAGCAACAGG
rnacentral:rRNA from 1 species